GAAGAAUGGACGAAGAACGGCGGAAAAUCUUCACGAAAUUGCUCUCGGAAACAUCUCGAAAGUGUUACGGAAGCACUUCGGCUUGGAUUUUCUUCAUGGAAACAUGUUUUUUCACGCAAAACAUCUAAAAUGCAUAGGAUAGGGGUCAGGGACCCUUUGGAUCAGCCUCCCUCGACCUAUUUAUAGAAAAAAGGGGUGGUGCUUGCCACCCAGCUUCUUGAGGCGAGUAGGUGGCUUCCUCAGGAAGCUUCCUGAGGCACCCCCUUUUACUAAGUUCACUCCCCAUUUUUUAUAAUUUACAGAAAAGUUAUGGAAGCCUUACGGAA
rnacentral:misc_RNA from 1 species